rnacentral:rRNA from 1 species
CUACGGGGUGCAGCAGUAAGGAAUAUUGGUCAAUGGACGAAAGUCUGAACCAGCCAUGCCGCGUGAAGGAUGACGGCCCUAUGGGUUGUAAACUUCUUUUAUAUGGGAAGAAACCCCUCUACGUGUAGAGGGCUGACGGUACCAUACGAAUAAGCAUCGGCUAACUCCGUGCCAGCAGCCGCGGUAAUACGGAGGAUGCAAGCGUUAUCCGGAUUUAUUGGGUUUAAAGGGUGCGCAGGCGGAAAGAUAAGUCAGUGGUGAAAUCCUACGGCCUAACUGUAGAACUGCCAUUGAUACUGUCUUUCUUGAGUACAGUUGAAGUGGGCGGAAUGUGUCAUGUAGCGGUGAAAUGCAUAGAUAUGACACAGAACACCGAUAGCGAAGGCAGCUCACUAAACUGAAACUGACGCUCAUGCACGAAAGCGUGGGGAGCAAACAGGAUUAGAUACCCGUGUAGUC